rnacentral:tRNA from 1 species
AAGAGAUUAGCUUAAUAAUAGAGUAGUUAUUUUAUAUACAAAAGGUUAGGUGUUUAAAUUGCCUAUUUCUUA